ACCACUCUGGGGUCACUUUGUGUCCCUUUGGGGGUCACUCCGUGGUCACUUUGGAGUCACUUUGGCCUCCUUGCCAUCACCCCAGUGGUCACUCCUUCGAUGUCCAGCAGGGUCCAGAUGUCCAGUGGUCACUCCCCACCACUCUGGGGUCACUCUCCCCCAUUUUGGGGUCACUUUGUCCCACUUUUGGGGUCACUUUGUCCCACUUUGGGGUCACUUUGUGUCACUUUGUCCCACUUUGUGCCACUUUUGGGGUCACUUUGUGCCACUCUGGCGGUCACUCUGUGGUCUCUCUGUGGUCACUUCACCCUUCUUACCACCACCCCAGUGGUCACUUUGUCCCACUUUGGGGUCACUUUGUCCCACUUUGUGCCACUUUGGGGUCACUUUGUGCCACUUUGGGGUCACUUUGUGCCACUCUGGCGGUCACUCUGGUGGUCACUCUGUGGUCUCUCUGUGGUCUCUCUGUGGUCACUUCGCCCUUCUUACCACCACCCCAGUGGUCACUCCUUCGAUGUCCAGCAGGGAUUCAGUGUCCAGUGGUCACUCUCCACCACUCUGGGGUCACUCCCCACCACUUUGGGGGUCACUUUGUGCCACUCUGGUGGUCACUCUGUGGUCACUUCACCCUUCUUACCAGCACCCCAGUGGUCACUCUCCCCCAUUUUGGGGUCAUUCUCCCCCAUUUUGGGGUCACUUUGUCCCACUUUGUGCCACAUUUGGGGUCACUUUGUGCCACUCUGGUGGUCACUCUGUGGUCUCUCUGUGGUCACUUCACCCUUCUUACCAGCACCCCAGUGGUCACUCUCCCCCAUUUUGGGGUCACUUUGUCCCACUUUGGGGUCACUUUGUGCCACNAGCUUUAAACAACUGUGUGUUUAAUAAAGGGCUUUAAACAACCCUGUCCCCAAUAAAGGACUUAAAACAGUUGCGUCCUAAAGUCUA
rnacentral:lncRNA from 1 species